CUCGGUAUGGUGAAACCGGAUAUCACGGCGGCCUCCUAAGCUGCAAUUUCAGGUUCAAGUCCUGAUACCGAGG
rnacentral:tRNA from 1 species